rnacentral:lncRNA from 1 species
UUUAAUUUCUAAUGAGAACUUGAUAUUGUUUUCUAUUUAUUAUAUUAGCUAAAAAUAUAUCUAACUUUCUGUCCCGUAACAAUAAGUACAGAAAGUAAUAAGCUGAGUUAGCUGAGUUAAAUAAGUUGAGUGGAAUUGCAGUCCACAAUAGACCUAACGAUAAGAGGCUCAACAAUAGACCUAACGUUCAGAUAGAUUAAGUCAAAUCGAACACCGUGAACAUUGUAGUUGAGCCCUUAAAUGCCAUGAAUUUGUUUUUUUCUAUAAACACAUGUUUUUGGGAUAGUUGGUUAGCAUUCACAAUCCACAAAUAUGGGUGAAAGUUUAAAUCUUUUUUUAUUUUAAGAGGUCACCAU